rnacentral:lncRNA from 1 species
ACCCUAAUCAAUCAUAUGCCUUGGAGACAUCAAUCUCUAGCCCUGCUACUAUAAUUUUCCCUUGAGACAAACAUUUAAUGUAAUGAUUAAAUUCAAACACGAUCAAAGCAUUAUCUGUUAACAAUCGACCCUCAAUAAACGCACUAUGAUUUGGUGACAUCAACAUUGACAAACAGAUUUUUAACCGAUUCGCAAGCACUUUGGACAAGAUUCUAAACAAA